UUGUCGACUAGAGAGGUGUACGUGCAAAUGGGAACGCGUGCGCAAAGCGCAUAGCAAAAAUUGUAAUAAAUAUAUAAAUAUAUACUGCUACGUAUCAUCCGAUGCGUGAGCGAAUUAUGGAGUUCGCGUAAAAACGUUCUGCCAUUCACGUGUGACACUCAUUGUGCACACACGACGUCGGAGUCCGUGCGAUAAUAAUAAUUUUCGUGCGAUCAAAACACUCUGACACUGCUGACUGAUUCUCUUCGCGGAAACAGACUGCGAUCAAUGGACUUUCGGGUAACACCGUGGUCUUAAAUUACUCGAACGUUCCGUUACGGGGGGGCUUCACAUAAGGUGGACACCCCGGGCGAUCGUUCCAAUUAUGUCUUUACCGUGCGGGACCAACGUCGGUAAAAUUAUGACACUAUGGAACUUUCGUUUGUGCGCCGCGCUCGAUUCAUAUGAAUCGUGUCGCUAUCGGGACGUUUGAACCACACAACAAAUACAUACCUCCAAUAUCGCAAACGAUCCAUUAGCUCUUGAAGCUUUUGGUGUUGUACUAAUUGUAACUAUCAAACCAUACAUAUAAUCCGCGCCGGUAUGUCUUCGGACGCACACCGGACGGGACUUGUAUAAAUUUAUAACCACCCUGAACGGUG
rnacentral:misc_RNA from 1 species